rnacentral:rRNA from 1 species
CGGUGGAGCAUGUGGUUUAAUUCGAAGCAACGCGAAGAACCUUACCAGGCCUUGACAUGCAGAGAACUUUCCAGAGAUGGAUUGGUGCCUUCGGGAACUCUGACACAGGUGCUGCAUGGCUGUCGUCAGCUCGUGUCGUGAGAUGUUGGGUUAAGUCCGUAACGAGCGCAACCCUUGUCCUUAGUUACCAGCACGUUAAGGUGGGCACUCUAAGGAGACUGCCGGUGACAAACCGGAGGAAGGUGGGGAGUGACGUCAAGUCAUCAUGGCCCUUACGGCCUGGGCUACACACGUGCUACAAUGGUCGAUACAAAGGGUUGCCAAGCCGCGAGGUGGAGCUAAUCCCAUAAAACCGAUCGUAGUCCGGAUCGCAGUCUGCAACUCGACUGCGUGAGGUCGGAAUCGCUAGUAAUCGUGAAUCAGAAUGUCACGGUGAAUACGUUCCCGGGCCUU